UACGUAGGGGGCAAGCGUUGUCCGGAUUUAUUGGGCGUAAAGAGCGUGUAGGCGGCCAGGUAGGUGGGUUGUGAAAACUGGAGGCUCAACCUUCAGACGUCGACCCAAACCCCCUGGCUAGAGUCCGGAAGAGGAGAGUGGAAUUCCUGGUGUAGCGGUGAAAUGCGCAGAUAUCAGGAAGAACACCCGUGGCGAAGGCGGCUCUCUGGGACGGUACUGACACUGAGACGCGAAAGCGUGGGGAGCGAACAGG
rnacentral:rRNA from 1 species